GGAGGAGUCUGACCAGGAGGAAAACGGAUGAGUACUUCCGUAUGAAGCUCCAGUGGAAGUCAGUGAGUGAGGAGCAGGAGAAACGCAACAGCAUGUUUAGAGACCACAGGAGUCUAAUAGAGAAAGACGUGAACAGGACCGAUCGGACCAACGCUUUCUAUGAAGGACAAGACAACCCAGGACUGAUCCUGCUGCACGAUGUCCUCAUGACCUACUGCAUGUAUGACUUUGACCUGGG